UAGGGAAUCUUCCGCAAUGGGCGAAAGCCUGACGGAGCAACGCCGCGUGCGUGAUGAAGGUCUUCGGAUCGUAAAACUCUGUUAUUAGGGAAGAACAAAUGUGUAAGUAACUAUGCACGUCUUGACGGUACCUAAUCAGAAAGCCACGGCUAACUACGUGCCAGCAGCCGCGGUAAUACGUAGGUGGCAAGCGUUAUCCGGAAUUAUUGGGCGUAAAGCGCGCGUAGGCGGUUUUUUAAGUCUGAUGUGAAAGCCCACGGCUCAACCGUGGAGUGUCAUUUGAAACUGGAAAACUUGAGUGCAGAAGAGGAAAGUGGAAUUCCAUGUGUAGCGGUGAAAUGCGCAGAGAUAUGGAGGAACACCAGUGGCGAAGGCGACUUUCUAGUCUGUAACUGACGCUGAUGUGCGAAAGCGUGGGGAUCAAACAGG
rnacentral:rRNA from 1 species